CGGGGCUCGGCCCGGCCCGGCCCAGCCCAGCCCAGCCCAGGGAAAAGUUGGUUGCCAGCUGCCGCCCAGCCCUCCCUGCGGCUGGAGCACGCGGCGCUCGGCCGCGUUUCCACGGAGGAAGAGCCGGUGCCAAAGUCCCCCGGCGAGGUUCGAGCCGGCGGGUCGCCUGGAGGGAGGCGAAGUAUGGAAAUCACCGGUCAGACAACAUCCCUUGGGGCCAGCCGCUUCUGCCAACGAGUUCGUGUGCGAGCAUGGCAUUUCUCCGGUGCUUUUCAUUACAGAGGACGGGGCUGCCACCACCAGAGUGCGGAAUAACCUCGCCCCCAGAGACACCUCUCAUCACCUUCCCCUCCAGAGCUAGUUUUCUCACCUCCCCUUACCCGUUUUUUCCACGCUGUGGGAGCUUCAGGGGGAUCUCUUUUGUUCGCUACGUUUACGCAAGUAAAUCACUUUUAUAAUCGCACCCCUCCAUCCCCUCUCUCUGAACUUCCAUUAAUGUAUCACUCCUCCCUCCCACCGCCUCCAAGAGACGGGGAGAUAGAUGGAUAUAGUUAGGAAGUAAUUAGAGGAAUAACUUGUGAUCAAGAAGCCAGCUCCUCAGCCCGUAUAAAUCAGUAUAGCGCCAUUGAUGUAGCCAUGCACAACACCCUGGCUGAGUGAAGAGAAAAGGAGGACUUGUGGCACCUUAGAGACUAACAAAUUUAUUGAGCAUAAGCUUUCGUGAGCUACAGCCCACUUCAUCGGAUGCAUCUUCUAGCCCAAGAUCAGAAAGGAGAUGAUGACCAUUUACUAUUUCUUUUAUGUUAGCACUGAGGAACACAGCAGGGAUUAGGACCCCCGGUGUGUCCACAUAUACACUCUGUGUAAACGAGUAAAAUAAAAACGAUAUCUGCCCUGGAAAGCUCACAGCCUAGGAUUUGACAAUAAAGGUGAACCAACGAAACCGGAACGACGUUCAAGGAAACAAUGGACCAGGGAACUGUUCCAUUAAGGUAAAUUCUCAUAGGCAGAUAGCCAAAGAAGGCAAAACUUCGAAAACAGCUUAAGAAAAUACAGGACCUCUGCCUCAUUCAGUGCACAAGAUAGACUGUCUUCCAGCAGUUCUCUGCUGCGUGUUCACCACCUACCUUCCAACUGCUUCAACAAAUUAGACGUGUCCAACAGAUAACAGCCUUCUUCACUAUACAAUCCUAAUUCGUUCCAAGAGCACAAAGAUUGUUCUCAUAUUCAAGGGAGAAGAAUGGCACACUGGAGAAUUGAAUUCUAUCCCUGCCUCUGCCACAGAGUUCAUAUGUGCUUCUAUAGAAAUUCUAAGUAUUCCAAAAAAAAAAUCAGGUCCUGGGCGUCUCAAAUUUGGCAUCCAAAAUUAGUGAACACUUCGACAACUUUGGUCUUAAAUCUCUGUGCUUCCAUUUCCGCAGCUGUAAAAUGGGGAUAACACCACCUAAUCUCAGAUAGGUGUUAUGAAGAUUGAUUGCUGUUUGUGAAGCACUCAGAUACUCUGAGAGCAUUAUGGAAAUGCCAAGGUAGAAAUCAAUUUUGUAUUCAGUGCUGGGUUUGGAUGGUGGAUGUUAAAUAAAGCCUAGGCCCACACACUGAAUGUGGAGGAUAAGAUGACAAAUCUACCCGUUCACUGACAGAGGCAGGGCUUAUUCUGUGUGUGUGUGGGGGGGGGAGGUGAAAUAGUAUGAGAUCAUAUAUAAUUAAAGAAUGUAUCAUAAUGCAGCUGCACAAGGGAACCAAUUUAAAUUUGUAUGGGAUACCUUGACUCUGACACUUCCUAACACUUGUGUCCUUGACUUUGCAACCUUAAUUUUAUUUUAACACUUUGUGGGAUGUGAUAAGAUAGAUAUUGACAAUGUUUUUAUGCUGUUUGGUGUGGGUAUAUAUAACACACGUUCAUAUAUACACAUUUAUAGGUGUGCCAUAUCUAUGUAACUUUAACUAUAAAAAGUAACUGUUGCCUGUUGUGCUUGGCAGACUCAUUAGUUAAUAAUAAGUCUGAGUGAAAAUACACUUAGAGAAAAAAACUUUUGAAUGUGAAGCCUGUUUAGCGAGUAAAAAAAAAAAAUCUCUUAAAUUAACUAUAGUUACAUCCUAUUUGUAAAUGGUAAAUCUUAGCACAUGUAUGUAUGUGCACACACAAAGGAUUAAAAGUUGAAUAGAGCUGAUAAAACUUGUUUUUCUCCACUUCAUUCCCUGCAGUAGAAUAUACCAUUGGAAUACUGAGUACAUGAUAGAAAUAUUGUGUUAAUGUAUUAUUGUC